AUGGAUCCGAGCAAGCACAAGGUGGGCUCCCCAAGCAAGCCGUCCCGCCCCGCGCCCUCCCACGGCGCUGCCUACCGCGGGGAGACCCCGUCCUCGUCGUCGUCGCUGCGGCCGCCGCCGCCGCAGCAGCAGCAGGGGCACGUGAUUCCGCCCGUGCCGCUGCGGGAGACGAGCCUGCCUGUGGAUCAUGAGGCGGACGCGUUCCCCUCCGAGCUCGAGUCGCAGGGACGAAGGAUGCGGGAGCUGUACUUGAGGGAUUCGCCGCGCCGCGUGCGGGUGGACGCGUCCCGGAGCGCCGUGUACGGCUACGCGUCGGCCCAUCCCACGCCCCCGCACCCCCGCGUCCACGACGACGAGACGACGCGCGGCGGCGCCUCGGUCGUCUCGUCGAUACAGCGGCAGCAGGGACCGAUCCCGCCGCUGCACCCGCAGUUUGGGUCGGCGCAGCGCCUCUACGGGGGAAGCGAGACCUCCUCGAGCGGCACCGCUCCAGUUGGCACCGCGCGACCCUCCGCAGUGGACCUGUUCUACGGGCGGCGCGAGACCUCCUCGAGCGGCGCCGCUCCAGCUGGCACCGCGCGACCGUCCGCAGUCGAGCUGUUCUACGGGCGGCGCGGGACCUCCUCGAGCAGUGCCGCUCCAGUUGGCACCGCGCGACCGUCCGGAGUCGGUUUGUUCUACGCGCCGCAGACCUGGCCGCAGCCGCCGCAACGCCAUGCAGGGGAGGAGACCCGGAGCUCGCACUCGGGGGCGCCAGAACCACCGAUUCACCAAGACUCGAGGCUGGAGAAGAUCCGAUUGGAGUCGCUCCGUUCCCCGAUGACGCUUGAGCAGCUGCUGAUGUCCUGCUCGGCGUUCGUGGUCCAACUGCUGGAGCAGGGUGACAAGGAGAUACGCCACAGGGUGCUCGGCUGGUUCGUGCACCGCGCGCACGAGAUCAUGGGGAACAGGCAGGGGCAUGCGGUGUUCGCCACGCUGCUGCGCAUCUGCCGCUGGCGGUACGAGGAGCUCCGCAGCAUCGUGGAGGCCGCCGUCACGCCCAGCCUCGUCUCGAGGUCCAACGACGGGGUGACAUCUCUGAAGAUGCUCAUUGCGGAGGUGGCGCGGCAUUGGGACCUGUCCGAGCGGCUCGUCGGCAGCUUCGUGAAUGAGCGCGUGAUGGACGAGGCCGGAGGGGACGAACUGAUUGCCCACUGUUUCACCACGAUGCCUUACGAGGUGACCAAGGCUCUGAUCCGGCACGCCCUGGACACCAUCAAUGACAAGCUGGAGUCAGAGUACGGGUCGAGGUGCCUGGCAGUAUGCUUCAGGAACGCGCGAGCCGACGAGCUCAAGGACUUCGAGAAGGUGAUAUGUGAAGGCGCCAUAGACAUGGCCAAGGGCCAAUACAGCAACUACUUCAUGCAGGGCGUCCUGGAGCACGGGGACAUAGGUGUACAGUACGCCGUCGUGGAUCAGCUCAUGACGGAAGUCGCCAGUCUGUCCUGCCACCACUACGGGCACUACGUCCUGCAGUCUUGCAUCCUGAAGACCGGCGAUUACCGGGGCGAGCUGCUGCGGCGUCUGAUCCAGGAGCUUGAACGGCUGGGCGAUACACAGCUCGCCGGGCUGGUGAAGAACCGCUUCGGCAGUCGCCUCCUCAGCCGCCUGCUCGACACGGCCGAAACUCCUCGCUUCAGGAAGGAGCGCUGGGGGUGGGAGCUGGCCCAGAGGAUCCGGCGCGCAUCGGCGGCCCACGUGGGGCCUGACCUGGAGAAGACUAACGCGAAGCGGGUGAUGAAGUCCGUAGACCGGAUGGGGCUGUCGUAG
rnacentral:rRNA from 1 species